rnacentral:snoRNA from 1 species
CUAUGAUGAUAGAAUCAAGGCUUGUUUCUCUACAUUCGCAGUUGCCGCCUAAGAGCUUUCGCCCUGCCAGGCUUGAGAGCUAAUGCUGCUACAUUGUUGAAUAU